rnacentral:lncRNA from 1 species
ACUUCUCAGCAUCGCCGUCUCUGAGGGCAGGAGUGAUCUGGAGCCCUCCCCAAGCCCACAGAAGACAUGGCUGUGGAGUGUCGGUGCACCAGGGUCUGCCGGGUCCCCGCCUCCCCAUCCUUCCAAGAGGCACCAGCUGCAAGGCACGUGCAUGUGCCCUCCUGACCCCCCGGUCCCCAAAGAGCCUGCUCCCGUCACUCCAGGCAGGCACUGUUGCUGGGAUUUCAAGGCAGCUGAGUGCAGAGCCCACUGCAGAGGCAUCAGCCCCUCCCAGGCCUCUAGGAAACCUGCUCCUCCCCUCCCUCCACAGGCAUCUGCUUACAGCGCCAGCGGUGCCUCGUGCUCCACCUGGAGCACCACUGUCUGUCAGGGACACGGGCUCCCAGAGGGCUGCACGUGAAUGAUUUCCGACCCUCACAACAGCCAGGAAGUAGGGACUGGGAUUGUUCCCAUUCUGUAGAUGAGAAGACUGAGGCUUGGGAUAACGUGCUUGCCCAAGUUGGCAUGGGCAGUACAAGACAAAGCUGGGGUUGCAAAUGAUCACGCUUCCUAUUCUGAAUAUUUCUUUUUCUGCCACCUUCUCCUCUGAGUGCUGGCUUUCCCUACUUACCAAGCCCCCAGCUGCUCACUGCGGUGCCAGAGCACCCAAGAGCCUCCUCUGGCAGUGCCAUGGCCCACAGCACACUCCCCUUGGCUCUAUCAGGCCUCCCUUUUGGCUUGAGUGCCACCCACUCACUCCUCUCCUGCUUUCUGGCAUCGUUAUUUAAUUGUCCAACCCUGGUCUGCUCAGUUAGACCGUAAACUCUGAGAGGACGAGGAGUCUUCGCCGGCUGCCCCCCGGGCCUGGCCUGGGGCUGCCACGUAGCUGAAUCUCAGCCACACUUGCUGUAGAAUGAUUUGUUAUUAUUCUCUGAGGCUGGGUUUCCACGUGGCUGGGCACAGGAGGACAGAGUCCCCCUCCCCGUCCAGGUCCUUGGCUGGCCAGCAUUUCAAAUGAUAUUGUUUCAUAUUAAAUUAUUUUAAAUUCCAUGGACCCUGGUUUCACAAUCAAAUAAUUCGAUCUUGUUUACAAAUGGAAUUUUUAGUUUUUGACGGUUUCUUGCUUUGCUGGGCUGGACGGUCAGUGAAUGCGUGUCCUCCCGUGCCCUCCAGUCCAUCUCUGUUGCCUUCCCCGGGAUGCCGUGGAGGCCGGGAACCGUCCCCAGGAGUGGGGACGUGGUCAGGAGGGUGGGGUCAGGCAGCCCUGUGCAGGCAGACAGCUCACAGUGCUCGGGGCCUGGAGGCGGGGGCGUUCUCUGCUUGCCCUCUUCCAGCUCUAGACAUGAGAAAACCCACAAAGAACAGAAUUGGAAGGGAUCUUUGACACACGUGAUUCCAACAUCCCCUUUUACAGUUAGGAAACUGAGGCACAAGAUCCUGGUUCUUGGGGUUGGGCCUUGGACCCAGCACUGGGUCUUUGCACAGCCUCCUCAGGACUGAUCCACACUUUGUUCUCUUCCCCACCAACCCCAUCACUUCCCGUUAGGUGCCACUUACUGCUUUCACCUACCGAGACAGAGAGAGGGAAAAGUGUGACCUCUGACCUCUAGGAGCUAGGAACCCAGUGUUGGGAGGGGAGCUGCGGAGGAGGAGACAAAGGAGGCACAAUGAGGUGGACCCUACGGGGUUGGGAGGAGCUUGGAAGGCAGUUCAGAAAGGACACGUAGGAGAAGGCAGGGUGGGACUGUGGGACAGCAGGCCGGGCGCAUCCAGCGGCGUUUGCAAAGCCGGAGAAGUGGCCAAGCUCAGUGGCUGUGGCCAGAUGCCAUUUGUGGCAGUUGAUGAGAAUCUUGUGACUAUUUUAACCGAUGUGUUAAACUUCACUCUCCCCCUGUCAGUCUCCUUGUCACCUUGGAGAAUGUUAUUAGUCAAGGUUCUCCAGAGAAACAGAACCAACAGAAUGUACACACAUGCACACACAUACACAUGCACACACACACACAUACACACGCACACACACACACACACAAACAGGGAUUUAUUGUAAAGAACUGGCUCCUGGAAUAACUGAAUUGAUAAGUCCCAAGAUUUUCAGUCAGCAAGCUGGAGACCCAGAAGAGGCUACUAGGGACUAGACAUGUCCCCCCAAAAUUCAUAUGGUGGACCCCAACCUCCAAUGUGAUGGUCUUAGGAGGUGGGGUGUUUUGAAGGUGAUUAGGUCAGGAGGGUGGAGCGCUAAUGAACGAAAUUAGUGCCCUUAUAAGAAGAGACAGGGCAGCUCUCUCUCUCUGAUCUCUGUCACAUUAGGACGUAGAGAGAGGAAGGCCAGCAGUAAGUGGGCCCUCACCAAAAUCAAAUUGGCAGCACCGUGGUGCUGGACUUCCAGCCUCCUGAAUGGUGGGAAAUGAAUAUUUGAUGCUUAAGCCACACAGUCUACAGCAGCCCGAGCUUAGACAGAGCGGACGUUUCAGUUCAAGUCCAAAGGCAGGAAAAAGCUAGACAUUCAGCUCAAAGGCUGGCAGGCAAGAGGAAUUCUAUCUUACUCAGGGGACGGGACCCCCUUUGUCCUAUUCAGGCUGUCAACUGAUUGGAUGAGGCCCACCCAUAUUAGGGAGGGGAAACUGCUUUACCUGGCCCACUGAUUCCAAUGUGAGUCUCAUCCCCAAGCCCCUCACAGAAACACCCAGAGUGAUGUCUGGUCAAAUAUCUGGGCGCUGUGGCCCCGCCAAGUUGACACUGAAAUUAACCCUCGCAGAGGCCGCCUCUUUAUCACGGGACACAUGCUUGGAGCCCCUCUUCUGGAACUUUCUCUAAGCGAGUGACAGUAUGGGGCAGAUGGGUGUCAUUGCUCUGUGGUCACUUGAUGGGUGACCUGGGUUGGCCCUGUGUACCUACCCACUGGGCUUGGCUCAGAAUGGCAUCCUGCUGUUUCCACAAGUCAGCUGGCUCUCCAGGGUCAGGAUGGAACCUGCUGAGGAGAUCACAGAUGGCCCUGACUCCACACGCUGCCCCAGAGGGCCCCAAGGCAGGCAUCUGAGCCAGCCCCGGCUGCAGAGGUUGACUCAGGAAAGCACCAGGGAAAGUUGGUUGUUAAUAUCCCAGUCCAAUUUUUUUUGACUGGGCCUAAAGGCAGGGACUUCCUUCUAUAAAAUCUGGGAGCUGAGUGCAGGGCAGGCCUGACAAGGCGUGAGGAGCUGCCUGUGGACUUCGGCUCUCCCAGUGAGUCCAGGAGCUGCCCUGGGCCCUGGCGGCCCCUCCUCAUCCCCACCUCUCUGCUGCACCACUAUGGCCUCAAGGUCCCUGCACUGCCUCAUAAAGCUGUCCCCAAGUCAGGCUCCUGUGAGCGCGCCGGGCAUCAGAACUCUGGCUGGUGGACCCACAGAGGCCCGGGGUAAUAGCCAUGAGAAGAACAGGCCACCACGCUCAGACUGGGAAGCACCCAGCCUGCGGGAUGGCCAGAGACACUCAUCCAGGGCCAUGAGAGUGUGAAUCAGUCGAGUACAAUAUGCAUAACCAGUGUGGCCAGAACCGGUGCUUUGAGGUGUCUAACUCCUGGUGUCCUACCAUCCCAACACUGUUGAUUAAUGGCGAAAGAUGGGGCAUUGGGGAGGUCUGUGUCUAUGCUUGGUGGCACCUAAGAAAGAGCAAGGCAUUUAUCUGCAUGGAUUGAGAUAGACAGGUCUCUAAAAUAAACAAGGCAAAGAACGCAAGAGGCUGAACCAAAGUAUGAUCCAUUUGGGGCUUAACAAAUAGAUAGUAUAGGCAGCGCGGUGGCUCACGCCUGUAAUCCCAGCACCUUGGGAGGCUGAGGUGGGCAGAUCACCUGAGGUUGGGAGUUCCAGACCAGCCUGAGCAAUAUGGUGAAACCCUGUCUUUACUAAAAAUACAAAAAUUAGCUGGGCAUGGUGGUGCACGCCUGUAAUCCCAGCUACUCAGGAGGCUGAGGCGGGAGAAUCGCUUGAACCCGGGAGGUGGAGGUUGCAGUGAGCUGAGAUCAUGCCACUGCACUCCAGCCUGGGUGACAGAGGGAGACCCUGUCUCAAAAAAAAAAAAAAAAAAUAGAUGGGGUAGAUGCUUUUGGAAGAAUAUGCAGUCACUGCUCACACCAGCAUGGAACAAGUGGACUGGGGUUACUGCCUGGCGAGUCUCUUUCAGGUCCCUGAAUGCAGUUAACUCAGCGAGUCCUGAGUUCCCCAGGAGGUGGGCAUUCCCAUCUUACCCACGUUGCAGAUGAAGACACUGAGGUGCAUAGAUGACUUACUUUCAGAAAAUGUCAACAGGGUGCUCUGCAGAGGGGCAUGGGCUUUUAUGCCUUUAUUAUGCUUUUCUGUAUUAAAAGAAAAAUACAGUCAUGUGAUUUUAGAAACUCAACCCAUGGAAGAGAGAAUACUGGGUCUGUAGGAAAUCUGCAAAGUGGGAAAGAUACUUCUGGGCUUGGUGGUGGCACCUUGGAGCCUGCUUACGGAAAUCACCUCUCGUUCCCGUGAUGCUGAAAGCAGAAUGCUGGACAUGGAAGAACCGCGGUACUCGAGCUUCGUCUGCUGCCCCACACCCCACUGGCUGUUGCAAGAGUGACGUUGCCAUUGGUGACUGCAGGUCUCCCAGCAGCCUGGUGCAGAGAGGCCACUUCAGGCUCGAACAGAGGCCCGGGUUUCCACGGGAGACAGCAGAGCCACGGUGUAGCAGGCAUCCAGCUCUCCCCCGAUCAGUUCCGUGACUUGUCGGAAGGCCCUCCCUCCCGGUCAGACGAAGAAAGGACUGGUGGCCUCUGGGGAUCCUGAGCCUGUCUCCAUGGGAACCAGCUCACCCACCCCCUCUCUGGCACCAGAACAUUCUUCCAGAGCUUCACUGGAGCCUUCCUCUUCAGCAUGACCGUCCCUGGCCACCUGAUCCAGAGCUGGCGGCUCCCAGGCAUAGCCCAUCCCUGCUGCGGCUCUGCACUGCCCCAGUCCUCACCUGCAUGCAGGGGACUAUUCACAUGCUGACCGUCUGUCCAUCUCCCGUAAGAACGUCGGCUCCUUCCACGUCUGCUGGGCGUGGAGGAUCCCUCACAGCCUCCCCGACCUCAGAGCCAUGAGAGACUUGCAAAGCUUGAAACAAACUCUGAAAGGACUCUUCACAGAUAAAUUCCUCCAGGUGCAUGUUUCAAACAAUUUUAUUAUCUAACCCAAGAGUAAGUUAGCAAUCGAUUUCCUAAUCUUUAUUGAUUGGCAGUGGGCAGGCUAGUGUGAUUAAAGAUGUGAGAGAGACUUGCCAAAUAAAAUGCAUGAGCAGCCUUCAUGAGCUUAGCUCCAAUGUGCAGAGUGAUAGGGUCAGGGAAGUGUGUGUAUGUGUGCAUGAUUGUGUGAGAUCAGGGUAGUGUGUGUGUGUGUGUGUGUGUGUGACAUCAGGGCAGUGGGUGUGUGAGAGAGAUCAGGGCAGUGUGUAUGUGUAUGUGUGAGAUCAGGGCAGUGUGCGUGUGUGUGUGUGUGUGACAUCAGGGCAGUGUGUCUGUGUGCAUGAGUGUGUGAGAUCAGGGCAGUGUGUGUGCAUGAGUGUGAUAUCAGGGCAGUAUGUGUGUGUCUGUGUGUGUGUGUAUGAUAUCAGGGCAGUGUGUGUGUGUCUGUGUGUGAGGUUAGGGCAGUGUGUGUUUGUGUGCAUGAGUGUGUGAGAUCAGGACAGUAUGUGAGAGAGAGAGAUCAGGGCAAAGGGCAGUGUUUGUGUGAGAUUAGGGCAGAGUGUGUGUGUGUGUGUAUGAGAUCAGGGCAGUGUGUGUGUGUGUGCAUGAGUGUGUGAGAUCAGGGUAGUGUGUGUGUGUGACAUCAGGGCAGUGUUUGUGUGUUUGUGUGAGAUCAGGGCAGUGUGUGUGUGUGCACGAGUGUGUGAGAUCACGGAAGUGUGUGUGUCAGGUCACCACAGUGUAUGUGCGGGUAUGCGUGUGUGUGUGCACAGGGAACACACGGACAGCCAUUCCAAGUACACACUCUCCUUGGGUAAAUCUGUGAGUAAUCAUUGCUCCAGCAGUGAGAGCCCGUGAGGGUGGUGCAGGAAGACUGUGGCCUGCCUCCUGAGGGAAGCAUUAAAAAAACAGUCAAAGGAAAACGAACUCAGCUCUCCCAGGGUGGAGGACGUGGAGGUGGGCAGCCAGGGAACAAAUCUGGUUGCUGCGAGCCUGUCAGAAAGGGCCCUAGUGCCCUGCCAGGAGGAAGGACUCUGGGCCAUGAGCAUGAUGGUCUUUGAAGGCCAGGAGAGCUAGCCUACCCCAGCUCUGCCACUAACUGUGCGACUCACGGUCACAUGAUGAUACCUCCUGGGCCCCAUAUACUUUAUCUGCAAAUGGGAAGAAGCACAGCCUCUGUGUCCACAGUGCUGUUGAGGUUGGAUCGGGGCUAACUGGCAAUCAGACAUGUGUCUAUAAAUGCCGGCGAGCCAGGCAGAGCCCAGGCCUGAGAGUCCACCAGGGUGGCAGGCCUUAAUCCGCGCUGCACAGAUCUGU